GUGUUUGGAAGUAAUCACAUCUAAGAGGACUUGUAUCGACGAUUGGGGUGCAGACGAGCGAGUACAUGUAGGGUGCGCAGGAGCAAAGAAAAAAGGGUAGCGGUUGGUGGAGACGACAUCCAACGAUUGUGAGGGAGACUCCUCCGAGGAUAUUUCUACACUCCGCCAUUCUUCUUCGUUGUUAAGUGGGGUAUGAGGAAGUGAAGAAUCAGAGGAAAUUGACGGCGGUUGGUCGUGAAGUUGGAUCAGUAGAGCUUCAAGGUGUUGGUAUGAUGAGUAAAGACCAUCAAAGAUUUUGACCAGCUAAAUAGUGUACACCUGGUCGCGGGUGCACGCACCCUAAGAGCCAUAAACAAGAAUUUGUCAGGCCUCCUGCAAGGUCCUACCGCUGCAGGCGACUUUACAUUCGCUUUCUUCAUCACACAUAUAUUCUCUUGACUCUAUAGAUAAAACUUCUGGUGACUGAUUUUCUAAAUUUCACGCCCAUUAAGCAUUGUGUUUGU